rnacentral:rRNA from 1 species
UACGUAGGGCGCAAGCGUUAUCCGGAAUUAUUGGGCGUAAAGAGCUCGUAGGCGGUUUGUCGCGUCUGCCGUGAAAGUCCGGGGCUCAACUCCGGAUCUGCGGUGGGUACGGGCAGACUAGAGUGAUGUAGGGGAGACUGGAAUUCCUGGUGUAGCGGUGAAAUGCGCAGAUAUCGAGAGGAACACCUGCGGCGAAGGCGGGUUGCUGGGCUGACACUGACGCUGAGGCGCGAAAGCUAGGGGAGCGAACGGG